rnacentral:rRNA from 1 species
CCAGGGGAAGGUUCGUCCGCCCUGGGUUAGUCGGGACCUAAGCUGAGGCCGAAAGGCGUAGGUGAUGGACAACAGGUUGAUAUUCCUGUACUACCGAUAACCGUUUGAGAGAAGGGAUGACACAGUAGGAUAAGCUAAGCACACUGUUGGUUAUGUGUGCCCAAGCAUUGAGGCAGUCAAAGUAGGCAAAUCCGCUUUGAUAAUGCUGGGAUGUGAUGGGGAGCGAAAUUUAGUAGCGAAGUAGCUGAUUUCACACUGUCAAGAAAAGUCUCUAUCGAGGUUAAAGGUACCCGUACCGCAAACCGACACAGGUGGGUGAGGAGAGUAUCCUAAGGCCAGCGAGAGAACUGUUGUUAAGGAACUCGGCAAAAUGACCCCGUAACUUAGGGAUAAGGGGUGCCACCAUUAGGUGGCCGCAGAGAAUAGGCCCAAGCGACUGUUUACCAAAAACAUAGGUUUCUGCUAAGUCGCAAGACGAUGUAUAGGAGCUGACGCCUGCCCGGUGCUGGAAGGUUAAGGGGAUCUGUUAGAGUAAUCGAAGCAGUGAACUUAAGCCCCAGUAAACGGCGGCCGUAACUAUAACGGUCCUAAGGUAGCGAAAUUCCUUGUCGGGUAAGUUCCGACCCGCACGAAAGGCGUAACGAUUUGGGCACUGUC